rnacentral:rRNA from 1 species
AUUGAACGCUGGCGGCAGGCCUAACACAUGCAAGUCGAACGAGUGGCGGACGGGUUAUUAAUGUAUGGGAAACUGCCCGAUGGAGGGGGAUAACUACUGGAAACGGUAGCUAAUACCGCAUACCAUCCGAUUUACCCAAAUGGUAUUUGCUUGGUGGUGGGGUAACGGGUAACCAAGGCGACGAGCCCUAGCUGGUCUGAGAGGGUGAACAGGCACACUGGAACAGAGACACGGGCCAGACUCCUACGGGAGGAAGACGUGGGGAAUAUUGCACAAUGGGCGAAAGCCUGAUGCAGCCAUCCCGCGUGUAUGAAGAAGGCCUUCGGGUUGUAAAGUACUUUCAGCGGGGAGGCGUGACCCGCAGAAGAAGCACCGGCUAACUCCGUGCCAGCAGCCGCGGUAAUAC